rnacentral:rRNA from 1 species
UCGAGCGGUAGCACAGGGGAGCUUGCUCCCUGGGUGACGAGCGGCGGACGGGUGAGUAAUGUCUGGGAAACUGCCUGAUGGAGGGGGAUAACUACUGGAAACGGUAGCUAAUACCGCAUAACGUUGCAAGACCAAAGAGGGGGACCUUCGGGCCUCUUGCCAUCAGAUGUGCCCAGAUGGGAUUAGCUAGUAGGUGGGGUAAUGGCUCACCUAGGCGACGAUCCCUAGCUGGUCUGAGAGGAUGACCAGCCACACUGGAACUGAGACACGGUCCAGACUCCGACGGGAGGCAGCAGUGGGGAAUAUUGCACAAUGGGCGCAAGCCUGAUGCAGCCAUGCCGCGUGUGUGAAGAAGGCCUUCGGGUUGUAAAGCGCUUUCAGCGAGGAGGAAGGUGGUGAGCUUAAUACGCUCAUCAAUUGACGUUACUCGCAGAAGAAGCACCGGCUAACUCCGUGCCAGCAGCCGCGGUAAUACGGAGGGUGCAAGCGUUAAUCGGAAUUACUGGGCGUAAAGCGCACGCAGGCGGUUUGUUAAGUCAGAUGUGAAAUCCCCGGGCUCAACCUGGGAACUGCAUUUGAAACUGGCAAGCUAGAGUCUCGUAGAGGGGGGUAGAAUUCCAGGUGUAGCGGUGAAAUGCGUAGAGAUCUGGAGGAAUACCGGUGGCGAAGGCGGCCCCCUGGACGAAGACUGACGCUCAGGUGCGAAAGCGUGGGGAGCAAACAGGAUU